GAUGAACGCUGGCGGCGUGCCUAAUACAUGCGAGUCGAGCGAACAGACGAGGAGCUUGCUCCUCUGACGUUAGCGGCGGACGGGUGAGCAACACGUGGAUAACCUACCUAUAAGACUGGGAUAACUUCGGGAAACCGGGGCUAAUACCGGAUAAUAUAUUGAACCGCAUGGUUCAAUAGUGAAAGACGGUUUUGCUGUCACUUAUAGAUGGAUCCGCGCCGCAUUAGCUAGUUGGUAAGGUAACGGCUUACCAAGGCAACGAUGCGUAGCCGACCUGAGAGGGUGAUCGGCCACACUGGAACUGAGACACGGUCCAGACUCCUACGGGAGGCAGCAGUAGGGAAUCUUCCGCAAUGGGCGAAAGCCUGACGGAGCAACGCCGCGUGAGUGAUGAAGGUCUUCGGAUCGUAAAACUCUGUUAUUAGGGAAGAACAAAUGUGUAAGUAACUAUGCACGUCUUGACGGUACCUAAUCAGAAAGCCACGGCUAACUACGUG
rnacentral:rRNA from 1 species